UACGUAGGUGGCAAGCGUUGUCCGGAUUUAUUGGGUUUAAAGGGUGCGUAGGCGGCCCUGUAAGUCAGUGCUGAAAUAUCCCAGCUUAACUGGGAGGGUGGCAUUGAUACUGCGGGGCUAGAGUACAGAUGAGGUAGGCGGAAUUGACGGUGUAGCGGUGAAAUGCUUAGAUAUCGGAAGGAACGUCAGUGGCGAAAGCGGCUUCCUGGACCAGUACCGACGUUCAGGCACGAAAGCGUGGGGAGCAAACAGG
rnacentral:rRNA from 1 species